UACAGAGGGUGCGAACGUUGCUCGGAAUUACUGGGCGUAAAGCGCGUGUAGGCGGAUCGGCAAGUCAGGCGUGAAAUCCCCAGGCUCAACCUGGGAACUGCGCUUGAAACUGCCGGUCUUGAGUGUCGGAGAGGGUGGCGGAAUUCCUGGUGUAGAGGUGAAAUUCGUAGAUAUCAGGAGGAACACCGGUGGCGAAGGCGGCCACCUGGACGACAACUGACGCUGAGACGCGAAAGCGUGGGGAGCAAACAGGAUUAGAUACCCUGGUAGUCCACGCCGUAAACGAUGGGUGCUAGGUGUCUCGGGUAUUGACCCCUGAGGUGCCGUAGCUAACGCGUUAAGCACCCCGCCUGGGAAGUACGGCCGCAAGGCUAAA
rnacentral:rRNA from 1 species